rnacentral:rRNA from 1 species
UACGAAGGGGGCGAGCGUUGUUCGGAUUUACUGGGCGUAAAGGGCGCGUAGGCGGCGGGUCAAGUCGAGUGUGAAAUCCCCGGGCUCAACCUGGGAACUGCAUCCGAGACUGCAUUGCUAGAGUAUGGGAGAGGGAAGCGGAAUUUCUGGUGUAGCAGUGAAAUGCGUAGAUAUCAGAAGGAACAUCAGUGGCGAAGGCGGCUUCCUGGACCAAUACUGACGAUCAGGUGCGAAAGCGUGGGGAGCAAACAGG